UUGAGGCAUACCGCCCUCAAAAACCUAUUUGUAAACAGGAUUGGACCCAGUUAGAAAAAAUGAACGUACUUGUUUAGGAAGAUUGCAUUGCAGAACAGGCAGAGGUGCUGCACAACGAUUCCUAUGGGAUCAUUAUUAAUUGGUCUUCAGCUUUUGUAUAAAAAAAAAUUAUUUUUCCUUCAUUUUUGAAAUGUAUUUUCACUGGAUAUUGAAUGGUGGUGGACAGGCCUUUUUCUUU
rnacentral:lncRNA from 1 species